GACGAACGCUGGCGGCGUGCUUAACACAUGCAAGUCGAACGGAAAGGCCCUGCUUUUGUGGGGUGCUCGAGUGGCGAACGGGUGAGUAACACGUGAGUAACCUGCCCUUGACUUUGGGAUAACUUCAGGAAACUGGGGGUAAUACCGGAUAGGAGCUCCUGCUGCAUGGUAGUGGUUGGAAAGUUUCGGCGGUUGGGGAUGGACUCGCGGCUUAUCAGCUUGUUGGUGGGGUAGUGGCUUACCAAGGCUUUGACGGGUAGCCGGCCUGAGAGGGGGACCGGCCACAUUGGGACUGAGGUACGGCCCAGACUCCUACGGGAGGCAACAGUGGGGAAUAUUGCGCAAUGGGCGGAAGCCUGAUGCAGCAACGCCGCGUGCGGGAUGACGGCCUUCGGGUUGUAAACCGCUUUCGCCUGUGACGAAGCGUGAGUGACGGUAAUGGGUAAAGAAGCACCGGCUAACUACGUG
rnacentral:rRNA from 1 species